UACAGAGGGGGCAAGCGUUGUUCGGAAUUACUGGGCGUAAAGGGCGCGUAGGCGCCUUCUAAGUCGAACGUGAAAUCCCCGGGCUCAACCCGGGAACUGGCGUCCGAUACUGGAAGGCUUGAAUCCGGGAGAGGGAUGUGGAAUUCCAGGUGUAGCGGUGAAAUGCGUAGAUAUCUGGAGGAACACCGGUGGCGAAGGCGGCAUCUGGACCGGCAUUGACGCUGAGGAGCGAAAGCCAGGGGAGCAAGCGGG
rnacentral:rRNA from 1 species